GGACAGCUCCUGAAGUCUCCUCUUCAGGAAUGAAUCGAUCGGCUUUGCUGAGGUUGGACAACUCAUUUCACCCAGAAGCCCAUCGAUUCCUUCCUGGGUGAAGAAAGCUACAUCUGCAGUGG
rnacentral:precursor_RNA from 15 species